UCCAGACUCCUACGGGAGGCAGCAGUGGGGAAUAUUGGGCAAUGGAGGAAACUCUUACUCAGCAAUGCCGCGUGAAUGAAGAAGGUCUUCGGAUUGUAAAGUUCUUUAAUUGGGGACGAAAAAAAUGACGGUACCCAAGGAAUAAGCCCCGGCUAACUACGUGCCAGCAGCCGCGGUAAUACGUAGGUGGCAAGCGUUGUCCGGAUUUACUGGGUGUAAAGGGCGUGUAGCCGGGCUGACAAGUCAGAUGUGAAAUCCGGGGGCUCAACCCCCGAACUGCAUUUGAAACUGUUGGUCUUGAGUAUCGGAGAGGCAGGCGGAAUUCCUAGUGUAGCGGUGAAAUGCGUAGAUAUUAGGAGGAACACCAGUGGCGAAGGCGGCCUGCUGGACGACAACUGACGGUGAGGCGCGAAAGCGUGGGGAGCAAACAGGAUUAGAUACCCCUGUA
rnacentral:rRNA from 1 species